rnacentral:ncRNA from 1 species
GCUGUAUGUUGUCGGGUAACGGCAGGGCAUACAGCUAGUAUUCCGUACUGUGGGUAGCAAUUUAAAUACGGAUAUGGGCAGCGAAGUUAGCACCCUAAUUGUGAAAGGCUGACGUGU